GAGGCCUCACAGUUGGAAAAUGAAGACCCGAAGUUUGAGAGGAGUUAAAGGAAGUCCAGUUGGGGAGAUGCCACGUUCGGAGGUCGAGGUCACCUACGUAACAGCACCCCGGGAGCUGGAGAUGCUGAGUCACAGACACAUCAACAGGAUGUGUUUGCGUCAAGCCUGCAUCGCUUUACAGAGAACACCACGGCACACCGGCUAAUAACUGUUCUCUCACACCUCAGUGGACUCAUGAGAUUUAAUAGUGGCAACACCGAGAUCAAGGCUGUAAUUGCAAGCGGUGAUCCUCAACCAGACGCUGGAUGGCGCUAUGGACGCUGUUGGCUGCUAUCCGUGGUGCUGGAAACGUCCACAUCCCCAUUUUUCAAGUAGUUUAUUGGAGGCCUCAAGUUAACUCAGAGUGAGGGUGAGAAGCUGGUUUGUUGUAAUCAGUAUAAAAUCCCUUCUAUUAUAAUGAGCUGUCCGAUAA